UAACCUGUCUUCAUGUCUGGAAUAAUACGCCGAAAGGGGUACGUAAUACCGGAUAUUCUUGCUUUUCAUAAGUUAUGCAAGCAAAGGUGGCCUCUGCAUAUGCUACUGCAUGAAGAGGGGUCUGCGUACCAUUAGCUAGUAGGUGGGGUAAUGGCCUACCUAGGCGACGAUGGUUAGCGGGUCUGAGAGGAUGAUCCGCCACACUGGCACUGGAACACGGGCCAGACUCCUACGGGAGGCAGCAGUGAGGAAUAUUGCGCAAUGGGGGAAACCCUGACGCAGCGACGCCGCGUGAGUGAGGAAGGCCUUCGGGUCGUAAAGCUCUGUCAAGAGGAAAGAAGUGUACAAUGGCUAAUACCUGUUGUAUUUGACGGUACCUCUAAAGGAAGCACCGGCUAACUCCGUGCCAGCCGCGGC
rnacentral:rRNA from 1 species